ensembl:lncRNA
CCGUAGAGUCUGGUUUGUUAAAAUUCCAAUAUAAAACUAAUUUAUAUUUGACAUUAAUGAGUUAAGAAAUGUUUUAUACAGUACAUCAGGGCUGAAAGAGAACUUUACAGCAUUCUAGUAAAAGCAAAUUGCUUCUGAGUAUGACUAUUAUAUAAAAAACAAAAAAUCUUACACUAACCUAAGCUACUUGUCCUUUCAAAAUCCUGUGAUUUUUAAUGUUUAUGUUAAGAAAGGAUUGAAAAAUUAACAAAGCUAAUUUUUUUCCCUCACUUACAUUCUAUUGGUGGGUUGUAAUUUAACAACUUGGAAGAGAUUUUUUUCCUCAGCUUGGAUGUCUGUACCAGAAAGAAGUGACUAUGGAGAGCUGUCUGGUAUUCUGGAUGAAGAAGAAUGAAAAUAACACUGAACAAAGUGCUCUUCUGGAGAACCAACCUGAAGGCAAGAUCCAGUUCUGGGAAAGAAGAACGCUGAUUGGAACAGGAAUAGAGGAAAGAAACAAGGAUAAUCAGGGAAGGAGGAGAGACACUGCAAGAGAUUGGAAUGUUCAGUCUAAAAGAAUGAAAGCUAAACACAGAACAUCAGAAUUUUUAAACAGCAGGCAAUUGGGUGUCAACUUUCUCAACUGUUCCUGAACAAAUUUUUGUCUGGAAAUAGUAAGAUGAUUUCUGCCUAUCACAGAUUCUGAAACAUACUUUUGAUGAGAGAAGGAACUAAGUUCCCAAUCAAUUAAGAUACCAGUAGAUGAACAGGAUGACACAUCAUGUGCUUUUGUGAUAGCAGAGACUUGAUAUGAUGAGACAGUUUUCCCUUACGGUCUAAAAUCAAGAAGUAAAUUAUUAUAAUUUUAAAAACUUAGUAAAAUAUACACAUUGAUUGGAGCAGCAAGUUCAAGGCACAGAACAAAUAACUCAGAUCUGUUAAAAUAUCUUACUCAGCCCACCCAACAAAAAGUCUGAAUUAAGCUUUUUCAGUAUUAAAACCUAAUAAUACCUUCAGUUCUCUGAAAAGUUGUAACUGAUCUGGCUAGGCUGUAGUUUUUGGCAAAUUAUUUUGCUGAUUGAAAGUUUCUCUUAUUUUUGUAU